UCGUAACAAGGUCUCCGUAGGUGAACCUGCGGAGGGAUCAUUACAAGUGACCCCGGUCUAACCACCGGGAUGUUCAUAACCCUUUGUUGUCCGACUCUGUUGCCUCCGGGGCGACCCUGCCUUCGGGCGGGGGCUCCGGGUGGACACUUCAAACUCUUGCGUAACUUUGCAGUCUGAGUAAACUUAAUUAAUAAAUUAAAACUUUUAACAACGGAUCUCUUGGUUCUGGCAUCGAUGAAGAACGCAGCGAAAUGCGAUAAGUAAUGUGAAUUGCAGAAUUCAGUGAAUCAUCGAAUCUUUGAACGCACAUUGCGCCCCCUGGUAUUCCGGGGGGCAUGCCUGUUCGAGCGUCAUUUCACCACUCAAGCCUCGCUUGGUAUUGGGCAACGCGGUCCGCCGCGUGCCUCAAAUCGACCGGCUGGGUCUUCUGUCCCCUAAGCGUUGUGGAAACUAUUCGCUAAAGGGUGUUCGGGAGGCUACGCCGUAAAACAACCCAAUUUCUAAGGUUGACCUCGGAUCAGGUAGGGAUACCCGCUGAACCUAAGCAUAUCA
rnacentral:misc_RNA from 1 species